rfam:Stomoxys calcitrans breed 8C7A2A5H3J4 unplaced genomic scaffold Scaffold1323, whole genome shotgun sequence.
GCCACCAUAGCGCAUAGGGUAGCAUGUCAGCCUAUGACGCUGAAAGCAUGGGUUCGAAUCCUGUCGAGGACA